ensembl:lncRNA
AGAUCAGUUCUUACUGGAGGUUGUUACAUGAUUCAUAGCAGCCUGAUAAGAAACCAGAAAAGCUAUGAGAAACACAGUCUUCAUUUUUACUGAGAUGUAGACACCACUGGUGAGGCUCCCAGCUAGUAAGACUCACUGAGCAGUUUGCAUCUUGACCAGGAUACCAUUUGGGUAGCCCAGUUCCAGAUGACAAAGAGCUUUCUCCUUUGCCACUAAUGAAAAUACUGAACACCUGCAGUGCCGCUGCAGCUCUUCCAGAUGAGGGAAUGUGGUGAAGAUCUCCUUGUGUAGGAGAGCUCUCUGAGGUGACCUUGUACCUCGGUCAGAAGCUAUGCCACACACUGCUGUCUCCUCCCUGCACAGGCAGGCUGAAAUUGAAAAAUGAAGAUGGUCUGCUUCUCAUGGAACAACACCAAAAAACAUUUCUUCUGCAACGAUCUUCUGGAAACUUUGUUUGAUGAAUGCAUUCUGAUGCAGCCCUAAUGAUAGGACCUAAACAGUUCAUCAUAUAUUGGCAUCAGAAUUGAGUUUUAUUUCUCUUCACCUGGUUUUGUUUGAUGUCUGUGAAAGAGGAAGAGGACAUAAAAUACCACGCCAUCUCUGCAUAGAGAAUUGUUAUUAUGGAUGUAGGAACUCUAGGAUAGGAGGGUAGUAGCAUCUGGCAUUCUGUGUGUGUGUGUGUGUGUGUGUGUGUUUCUGAGUGCUUGAUGCAACAGGAGCUUUUACAACCACAUGACGGCGGCUGUACUCAAGUCAGCUUUACUUCUCAGUACUCAGUGCUGCCGUCUGAACGUUUUCCAAACAUAUGGGAAUAGGACACAAAUAACUAUUCUUUGACAGAUGGGUAGAACUUUACCACCGACUCUUAAAACUGCUUCAGGAAACUGGGAGAAGAAAACAAACAACAGCAACAACAAAAAUACUUCCGCCUGUGUUUAAAAGGAAAAGGAGAGACACCUAAUUUAAGGCUGCAUAAAGGCUCCCUGCAACAGACUUUGGAGUGAGGUCUUCGACCCAAGUGCAGAGUUGUAUUCUUUCACUAUUUUUUAGUUCCAGACUAGGCAGCCAUCUAUAACAGAGCUAGUGAUGGUAGAGGAAGAAAGAAUGGUCUGUUAAGUGGCAGCCCUUAAGCUACAUGCUUUUAGUAAGGCUGGAAGAGUCUACAGUUCAAGAGAACCUGCAAAAGUUGAAAGACUGAGAAGAUUUUAUCUUGUGACAUCAGUAAAUGUAAUGUCAUCUUUUUCCUCCCUUCUUUCUGAUGCUUUAACUUUUACUAAAGGUUGGACUGGAGUUGAUAGUCAUCUUUUUACCCACACUGGUAGAUGCUUUUGAAUUGUUCUGGAAGAGUAUUAAGAACACUUGUUUAUAUAUGUAUGUUUUCAAUGUAUGUUAGCCUCUACCUCUGUCAUAAUUCUUAAAUCAGACUGGACCCAUGACAGUAUUUUGCCUGCCUGAACACUCUCACUUUUCUGUUUUCACCUUUCUCUGAUAUCUCCUGCCCAUUUGUGAGGCACACUCUUACUUGAAAUUCUUACUGAAGAUGGGAGCAUAUCCUAAGCAUGAACGUUUUUUAAAUGACAUACCUUGGAAGAAAACCUGAAAAUCACACAGAGUGCAGUGUAAAGCCCAGAACACAAUUUAGUAGUGACUUUUAUCGGAAAGCUGACAUUGACCAUACCAUACUGAUUAGUACAUGCUCCCUGCAUAUCUUAAAGACAUUUCAAAGGCUGGAAUUUCACAGAUCUUUGGUAAUUGCCUACCUCUUGUCCAGCUGAUUCAAUGUCUGCAGAAUUAAUUUAUUUUCAGAGUUUGAAAUAUUUUAUCUAUAUCCCUCCUACUUGCUUGUAUUUCCACACGCCAAGGUGGACAGAAAUACUUUCUGCACUGUCUUUGAAAAUAAGCUUUUCAGUUGUUCAAAUUCUGUGCUGCAAAAUAAGAACUGGGAGAUAUAUGGUUGUAUGCAUGUGUACUUGUGUGGAACAUAUUUAACUGAUGAACACUGGGCAAAAAAAUGUGAGAGCUGGGCAGAUCUUACUCAGUGUUUCCUUUGGAGCUCAUUGCUUGGUUGCUAGGGUUUUUAUUGUUGUUGAUAACAUCACAAGUUCGGGUCUUCUUUGCUCUUUCUUUACCUCUAAGAUGCACUGGAUAGCUGAAGUCCUGCUGAGACCACAUCUGAAAUCAGACCUAAAGAGUCUUUGUUCAGCUGAGAACUUUACUGUCUCCC